rnacentral:rRNA from 1 species
AUUGAACGCUGGCGGCAGGCCUAACACAUGCAAGUCGAACGAGUGGCGGACGGGUGAGUAAUGUAUGGGAAACUGCCUGGUAGAGGGGGAUAACUACUGGAAACGGUAGCUAAUACCGCAUACCAUCGGAUGUGCCCAGAUGGGAUUAGCUAGUUGGUGGGGUAAAGGCUCACCAAGGCGACGAUCCCUAGCUGGUGUGAGAGGAUGACCAGCCACACUGGGACUGAGACACGGCCCAGACUCCUACGGGAGGCAGCAGUGGGGAAUAUUGCACAAUGGGCGAAAGCCUGAUGCAGCCAUGCCGCGUGUAUGAAGAAGGCCUUCGGGUUGUAAAGUACUUUCGGCGGGGAAGCGUUACCCGCAGAAGAAGCACCGGCUAACUCCGUGCCAGCAGCCGCGGUAAUAC